rnacentral:rRNA from 1 species
UAAACGACUCUCGGCAACGGAUAUCUCGGCUCACGCAUCGAUGAAGAACGUAGCAAAAUGCGAUACUUGGUGUGAAUUGCAGAAUCCCGUGAACCAUCGAGUUUUUGAACGCAAGUUGCGCCCGAAGCCAUUNGGCUGAGGGCACGUCUGCCUGGGCGUCACGC